rnacentral:tRNA from 1 species
AGCAACAUGGAUAAGAGCACCCCGGACACCUUCCGGGUGCCCGAUGACCGGGCCCUGUACCAGGCGCCCGAUCGUGCCGCGCCAUUGCUAC